GACGAACGCUGGCGGCGUGCUUAACACAUGCAAGUCGAACGGAAAGGCCCUGCUUUUGUGGGGUGCUCGAGUGGCGAACGGGUGAGUAACACGUGAGUAACCUGCCCUUGACUUUGGGAUAACUUCAGGAAACUGGGGUUAAUACCGGAUAGGAGCUCCUGCUGCAUGGUGGGGGAUGGAAAGUUUCGGCGGUUGGGGAUGGACUCGCGGCUUAUCAGCUUGUUGGUGGGGUAGUGGCUUACCAAGGCUUUGACGGGUAGCCGGCCUGAGAGGGUGACCGGCCACAUUGGGACUGAGGUACGGCCCAGACUCCUACGGGAGGCAGCAGUGGGAAAUAUUGCGCAAUGGGCGGAAGCCUGAUGCAGCAACGCCGCGUGCGGGAUGACGGCCUUCGGGUUGUAAACCGCUUUCGCCUGUGACGAAGCGUGAGUGACGGUAAUGGGUAAAGAAGCACCGGCUAACUACGUG
rnacentral:rRNA from 1 species